rnacentral:rRNA from 1 species
GAGAGCUAGCAAUCCCAUAAACCGUGGCUCAGUUCAGAUCGUAGGCUGCAACUCGCCUACGUGAAGCAGGAAUCGCUAGUAAUCGCAGGUCAGCAUACUGCGGUGAAUACGUUCCCGGGCCUUGUACACACCGCCCGUCACACCAUGGAAGUUGGCCAUGCCCGAAGUCGUUACUCCAACCCUUGUGGAGGAGGACGCCGAAGGUGGGGCUAAUGACUGGGGUGAAGUCGUAACAAGGUAGCCGUACCGGAAGGUGCGGCUGGAUCACCUCCUAA